UCAACAUGGACAUCCGUUGAGGUUACUUGUGGGUCUGUCCAAGUGGUAUAUGGGAGUAUAGCCCUAAGUGCAGUGAUGUACAGUCCCCUUCCACAGUGUUGAAGAGCAAGCCCUGUCCCUGGUUCUAGAGCUGAUGAGGGCAGACUCCUUUAUAUUCCUAUAACUUCUCAGUCUCUAGACAAUUACUGAGGAGAAACCAUGCAGGGUGCAACU
rnacentral:snoRNA from 7 species